GAAAAAGAGGGUGGGGCUCCCAGAAGCCAGACUUGCCUCCAGGCCUUCCAGGAUGCCCUAAUAGAUUGUUCACUUGAGGAUCUAGGCUUCAACGGAGACAAGUUUACAUGGUUCCAUCAAGGGCUACGAGAGAGACUGGACAGAGCUAUCUCUAAUGAGACAUGGCUAUUAAUGCACCCAUUAGCUGGACUCAGUAAUUUGGAGAUGGGUAAGUCGAACCAUAGGCCGAUUUGCCUUGAUACAGAUUAUCUAGAAGGGGUGGCAGAACCUACUGUAAUUGCCCCACGUAAGUUCGAGGCGAGGUGGCUCGCGGAGGAAACCGUGGAAGAAAUAGUUAAAACUGCCUGGCUGAAGGCAGUGAACCAAGGGCUCUGUCCUACGGCUGCAGAGAAGUUGGCUGCUGUCCAUAACGAUCUACACGAUUAG
rnacentral:rRNA from 1 species